GACGAACGCUGGCGGCGUGCUUAACACAUGCAAGUCGAACGGAAAGGCCCUGCUUUUGUGGGGUGCUCGAGUGGCGAACGGGUGAGUAACACGUGAGUAACCUGCCCUUGACUUUGGGAUAACUUCAGGAAACUGGGGCUAAUACCGGAUAGGAGCUCCUGCUGCAUGGUGGGGGUCGGAAAGUUUCGGCGGUUGGGGAUGGACUCGCGGCUUGUCAGCUUGUUGGUGGGGUAGUGGCUUACCAAGGCUUUGACGGGUAGCCGGCCUGAGAGGGUGACCGGCCACAUUGGGACUGAGAUACGGCCCAGACUCCUACGGGAGGCAGCAGUGGGGAAUAUUGCACAAUGGGCGGAAGCCUGAUGCAGCAACGCCGCGUGCGGGAUGACGGCCUUCGGGUUGUAAACCGCUUUCGCCUGUGACGAAGCGUGAGUGACGGUAAUGGGUAAAGAAGCACCGGCUAACUACGUG
rnacentral:rRNA from 1 species